AACGACUACCUAUACAUGAUAGAUACGAUAAUCAGUCCGAUUAUACGAAAUUCGUAUCGAAUUAUACGAUCUGGCAGCCCUGGUUUGUUGUGACAGACGACACGACAGACAACAGGGAGCGUGCAUGAACUGUAGGAGGCAGCACAGAAGCCGUCAGAUUUUUGGCGCGAGGCGUAAAUGUGAUGUUUAUUGUUCCGAUGUAGCCCACAAGAUGGCAGAACCUACUAAGCACAAGAAAACACGUGACGUGUAAAUGUAUAUGUGUAUGGUUCCGAUUCAGGCCACAAGAUGGCAGACCCUCCAACGCGCACAGUCCCUACUCUGCUAAAAGUAUGUUUCUGACGGGCUUUCAGUAACUGUCAUAACUAAUAUUACAAUGACCUAAUGUUGGUACACUGUAAUAGCCAUACUAUUUUAUUAACAUCCAAGCAAAACUCUGCGUUGACAUAGACUAGAUAAAAUGUUUAGCCGUUACGUUGGUAAGACUAGAAUAAUACUAUUUGAUAUAAAAGCCUAAUUUCUAGCUCUAUGUUGGAAAGAUAUAAAGUUUACUAUUACUGUUUCGUCCAGUAUUAUUGCAGUUUACCAUUUAUCAGCUAUCGUGGCCUAUUUUUAUCGUAAAUAUGAUUUUUAAGCAAAAAACGUGAACAAAAUAGCGGAAUAGUAUCGGAAUUGACAGAAACGCACGUAGGUUUUUUGCCAUGUUUGGCCACAUCAAGCGCUGUGAUCGUUCCGGCUUCCCCCACCACCCGCUUUGCACGCUUCCAAUAGAUAGAUAGAUAUUAUGUACAUUGCCAAACACAUAACGUCUCUAUAAUUAAGAACGCAUAUGUAAUAUCCCUUAAAAUACUAGAAAACAUACCUCUCUCUCGAUUGUUACCGUGUUUUUCUCUAUGGUCCAGCUGGGAUGUCCGCUCGCGCUUGACCGAAGCAAGCUGUCAUCCUUGUCGGUUGACGUUUGUCAUGUCAUAGCGUAUGUUUUCCCUCCAAAAAGUGAGACGUGUUUUUUCCGUGAAAGCAGUAAAAGUGAAAUAAAAACUAAAAAAUGAGCUCGAAAGAAGACGGGAAGUAUGGAGUGUGGAAUAAAAGGAGGAUCAUCUCUAUGUCGGGCUUCAUAUAUGGAUGGCUUAACAUUUAGAUCAAACAGAGUUGGAUAGUGGUAACUGCCCAUCGGGUCAUCAUGAACUCGCCAUUCACAAAGUGGAGCUAUUGUGGGACUGACAAGAGUUAUAUCAAUUGCAGAUGGAUUCCUAUUUGGAUAUUGCACUGUUGGACUACCAUCAUUUAAAAUACACAAAUCAAAUUCAUCAAUAAUAUUGUAUAAACCAUUACCUCUACUGUUAUUUGAUUGACAGCCAAAUAAUAUGUGAUGAGCGUUAAAAUCGCCCAUGAUAAGACAGCUUGGGGGUUUCAAGCAACAACUUUUUCAUUUUACGAACAUCAAACCAUCAAUGGGAGCACCAUUGGGUGGACAAUAAACACAAAGAAUGUAUAAUUGACCAAUAGAUGUUUCUAUAGCCACACAGAUAUUUUGAAUGGAUUCAUAAAAAGUUGUAUUUAUGAUACUAUAUUGUAAGUUUUGUUUAAUAAGUAUACCUACUCCAUUCUUAACAUUUUUCGAAAUUUUAUGUACUAUGUUGUAUGGGGCAAAGUUGAGAAUUGUGCUUGUACUUUUAGUCCAUGUUUCAUUUAGUAAACAAAUAUCUGGGUCUCUAUUGGUUCCCAUAAAUUUUUAGUUCCGAUUUUCUCAGUACAUAACGUUUUCUACCAUAAUUUUUAUUAGUCAUAUUGUUAAUAGUCAUAAAAUUUAACGACAUAAAUUGUAGAUCUGAUUUUUGCAGGUCAUCAUUAUUGUUAGUCAUAAUAUUUGUCGGUCAUAAUAUUCAAAGCUCAGAUUCUAUAUCAUUACAUAAUGUAGAAGGUAAUAAACUUGUUUAUAAUAAUUGUCGUAAGGUCUAUUUUCGCAAGGUAUAAUGAUCGAUAUUCACUUGAUAUCCUAUAUUUCAUGUAACUUAUUAAUCCAUUUCGUGCCGCCAACGAGUCGACGGAGCCCCGCUUCGCGGGACUCCUAUUUUCGCUCUGAGGGACACAAGGUAACUAACGAACCUACCUGGGGAAACAUGAUUUUUUGUUUGGCUUACUGACUUUACCUCUGUUUCCUAUAUUUCAUGUAACUUAUUAAUACAUUUCGUGCCGCCAACGAGUCGACGGAGCCCCGCUUCGCGGGACUCCUAUUUUCGCUCUGAGAGACACAAGGUAACUAACGAACCUACCUGGGGAAACAUGAUUUUUUGUUCAUGUUUUGUGUAAUUCACUUUAGUAAUUAAAACUAUAUGAAUAAUAACCAUUAGUCCGUUAAAAUGUAU